rnacentral:tRNA from 1 species
GCUCGCAUAGUUUAGAAGAGAAUGUUUGUUUGUGAUGUAAUAGGAGCACUGAAGGAAUAGGAGUGCUGCGGGUG